rnacentral:rRNA from 1 species
UCAGACGAUGCGUCAUGCAUAUCAAUAAGCGGAGGAAAAGAAACUAACUAGGAUUCCCUUCAGUAACGGCGAGUGAAGCGGGAAGAGCUCAAAUUUGAAAUCUUCAAGGUUUUACCUUGACGAAUUGUAGUUUAAAGAAGUGUUUUCUGUUGAAGUUUUGGUAAAAGUUCUUUGGAAUAGGACAUCAUAGAGGGUGAGAAUCCCGUAUUUGACCAUAUCUUUCUAGCUGUGUGAUACACUUUCAAAGAGUCGGAUUGUUUGGGAAUGCAGUCCAAAAUGGGUGGUAAAUUUCAUCUAAAGCUAAAUACUGGCGAGAGACCGAUAGCGAACAAGUACCGUGAGGGAAAGAUGAAAAGAACUUUGAAAAGAGAGUUAAACAGUACGUGAAAUUGUCAAAAGGGAAGCGUUUGACACCAGUGUUGUUUUCUCGAAAAUCAAUUAAAAAGAGUCGGAUUUUGUGUUGUAUUGACCUUUAAUCAGCUUGCUUCACUUUUUCUUGUCUUUUUUUAAUGCACUUUUCGUUUAACAAGUCAACAUCAGUUUCUUUUGUUGUAAAAGGGUCAUUGGAAGGUGGCUUUCUCUUCGGAGAAAGUGUUUAUAGCCUUUGGCCUCUGCAAUCGGAGAGAUUGAGGUCUGCAGCGUAGAUCCUUCGGGGUUAGAUACAUUUGUGCUAAGUUAUAGCCUUUCAUAGACAACUUGUUGACUAUGAUCAGUCAUGUAACUUACUCGCUUAUGCUAUUUUACCUACGCUUAGGAUGUUGAUAUGCAUGACUGAUAU